rnacentral:lncRNA from 1 species
CCCUUAUCCUCCAUAAACAGCAAGGGUCUCAAGGCAUUCGAAGAGCAGAAAAGGUGCCAAACACAAUGUUGUCAGGGCACUCCAUGAUACUUCAGUGGUUCAAAUAAAACCAAACGAAGCUCCAAGAACACUUUUGUGGGGCAAAAUAAAACUACAACCUACUAGCUUGACAUUGGCCUGUUGUGCUGCUCGCUCUAAUGGAAACACCGUAAUGGCUGUUGUAAACGCGCACCUUCACGUGAUUUGACAUUAUGCUGCUUUGUUUACCUCAGUAACCAAGGCCAUAUUUGUCAGAGUAGUCAACCCAUUUACUAAUCCAGAAGACAGGAAUACAAGCAGGGUCUUCAGCUUCCUCUGUAAAAGUGUAAGGGGAAAAAAAAAUAUUUGCAACAAGAUUGUCAAUUUGAGAACAUGUAACCCUUUC